AUUGAACGCUGGCGGCAGGCCUAACACAUGCAAGUCGAGCGGAUGAAGGGAGCUUGCUCCUGGAUUCAGCGGCGGACGGGUGAGUAAUGCCUAGGAAUCUGCCUGGUAGUGGGGGAUAACGUCCGGAAACGGGCGCUAAUACCGCAUACGUCCUGAGGGAGAAAGUGGGGGAUCUUCGGACCUCACGCUAUCAGAUGAGCCUAGGUCGGAUUAGCUAGUUGGUGGGGUAAAGGCCUACCACGGCGACGAUCCGUAACUGGUCUGAGAGGAUGAUCAGUCACACUGGAACUGAGACACGGUCCAGACUCCUACGGGAGGCAGCAGUGGGGAAUAUUGGACAAUGGGCGAAAGCCUGAUCCAGCCAUGCCGCGUGUGUGAAGAAGGUCUUCGGAUUGUAAAGCACUUUAAGUUGGGAGGAAGGGCAGUAAGUUAAUACCUUGCUGUUUUGACGUUACCAGCAGAAUAAGCACCGGCUAACUUCGUG
rnacentral:rRNA from 1 species